AGUAAAAAGAGAAAGACAUUAGUGAUCCAAUUCAUAUAAUAUUCACAUAAAAUGAUAUUAAUACCGUAGUGCGCUGAACGGACAUAAUUCACCAUCUGGUUAGUUUCCGUCUCACUCACAACUGACUGGUGGGGGAGGCAAGAGUCCUACAGAGAGAGAGUGGCGCCACCUUCGGUUUUUUCACAGCAAUGGUGGAGCAUGAAGCCCCACAGAAGUUCCCGGAAGUUAGCUUUCGCUAGCUUUCGCUAACUUCCGCUCAAUGGAAUUCUUAUGAAGCACACGGUCGGAGCAACACUUGUUCAAGGUGACAUCAUCUUGCACAUAUUUGGGAACCUACAGUAGGAGCACUUUGCUGUGGAGCUCCAGUGAUGCUGCAGGCCAGAAGUACUGAGUGGACCACAGUGAGACUGGAGACAUACAUGAUGGAAGCCUGCUGGAGCGUGCCAGAGCUUCCUUCUCCAACACACUCACUGCGUUUGGACGCUCCACGAGGGAGGAACCGGUCUUUGUCCUUCCCUUCCCUUGGUUUUUGCAUUGUUUUUCCUGUUCUGUGUUCUUAAUUAAAACAAUCUUAAACUUCCCAGUGGUGUGGUAUUUGAAAGUGUGUCGAGGUGCAAACGCAUUGUUUGAAUACUAGUGCAGUGCCUGUAGGAAGUAUGUAUUCCUAUAGA